AGAGUUUGAUCAUGGCUCAGGACGAACGCUGGCGGCGUGCUUAACACAUGCAAGUCGAGCGGAAAGGCCCCUUCGGGGGUACUCGAGCGGCGAACGGGUGAGUAACACGUGAGUAACCUGCCCUCGACUCUGGGAUAAGCCUGGGAAACUGGGUCUAAUACCGGAUAUUCACCUCCUGUCGCAUGGUGGGGGGUGGAAAGUUCCUCCGUUUUGGGGUUCGGUCGGGGAUGGGCUCGCGGCCUAUCAGCUUGUUGGUGGGGUGACGGCCUACCAAGGCGACGACGGGUAGCCGGCCUGAGAGGGCGACCGGCCACACUGGGACUGGGACACGGCCCAGACUCCUACGGGAGGCAGCAGUGGGGAAUCUUGCGCAAUGGGCGAAAGCCUGACGCAGCGACGCCGCGUGGGGGAUGAAGGCCUUCGGGUUGUAAACCCCUUUCAGCACCGACGAAGUUUGGACGGUAGGUGCAGAAGAAGCGCCGGCUAACUACGUGCCAGCAGCCGCGGUAAUACGUAGGGCGCGAGCGUUGUCCGGAAUUAUUGGGCGUAAAGAGCUCGUAGGCGGCUUGUCGCGUCUGUCGUGAAAGCCCACGGCUUAACCGUGGGUUUGCGGUGGAUACGGGCAGGCUAGAGGCAGGUAGGGGAGCAUGGAAUUCCCGGUGUAGCGGUGAAAUGCGCAGAUAUCGGGAGGAACACCGGUGGCGAAGGCGGUGCUCUGGGCCUGUUCUGACGCUGAGGAGCGAAAGCGUGGGGAGCGAACAGGAUUAGAUACCCUGGUAGUCCACGCCGUAAACGUUGGGCGCUAGGUGUGGGGUUCUUCCACGGAUUCCGCGCCGUAGCUAACGCAUUAAGCGCCCCGCCUGGGGAGUACGGCCGCAAGGCUAAAACUCAAAUGAAUUGACGG
rnacentral:rRNA from 1 species